AUAAUACACCAUAUGAAAAUGCUACAGCUGUCAAGAAAUUCAGUUAGCGAAUUUUAACUGCACAAAGACAAGGAGAAACCACACGAUUAUAAGAAGGAAGUUGCUGCCAUUUUUGCUUGUCAAGAACGCUGUCUUCGAUUGUUCGGCUUCUUAUCCGUAGGACGCCUUUACGCAUUCCGACAUGGUUAUUUAUCACUAUCUGGUCACUUUUUAACGCCUUUCCGUAUUUCCUCUCACAGCAGGUGUAUAUCAGUGCGCUUUUAUAUACCCGGAUUUUCAAAGAAACUACUUUAAAAGAUAUUCAGUGCUGUUUACCGUGGUGGAGCAAGAUGAUAUCGUUCCAACAAGCGUGGGGAAAGCGCAAGGAAGUGGCGAAGUCAAAAACAGCAAUUUCUUACAUGGAACUCCAGCGUUAUUUGGAUGUUUUACGCUGUUCUGCAAACUUGAAUACAGCAUAUAUGGCAAUUCACUGUUUGCAAUUUACGGACUGGACCUGCUUGCAAUUUGUGGAUUUAUUGCUGCGAUUGUGGUCCGAAGCGCUCGGUUUGGCGUUACAUGAAGCUUUGGACCAGAAACAAACUGGCUCUGAGAUGGCUGUCUUUCAGCAACAAGAUGGGCAACAGCGGCAGCGUUCCUGCUGAACACGAUAGUGAUAUCUAUGGCGAGAAGUACUGCUCCAGUGGGAAGGAUUACGAAUUCGGGCAUACAUAUAUUUACUCAAUCGACUAUUUUUCCGGAUAUACCGGAUCCAGGAAAGUAUGCCACCAUUUUAUAGCUGUGGAGCUUCCGAGUAACGAAUUUGUCAUUUACCAAUGGAGAGUGGCGGGCAGAGAUUACAGUUAUUUCGUCACUAAUCGGUUGAAUGCUACCAAAUGCAAAUAUGUUGGCUACUUUUCUGUACGAGAAGUGUGUAACGCUGUUGCUCAUGUGGACGAAGAACACAAACACGAGAACGAUCGUACAACGUUCGACUGCAAUGAUUUUGCAAAUGAAGUGGCACAAAUGCUUAGCGGUAAUGAAUAUGGUGUUUCAUUUUGGUGCAGCGGCUGCACAAGAGCUUGAUCAUUUCGGAUGCCGAACGACUUGGGCACAAAGCUAAGAAAGAUCGAAUAAAUGAAUUUGAACAAAAAAAAUGUAAUUUCAGACGACAGAAUGCUUAAAGGAAGUGACACGGUACAGGGUACCAUUCGCAUAGAUGCACGAAAACUGCCCCUUUUGCGUGCUCUCAAACAAUUUGUGCUUUGUUUAUGACAUUGGCCGUAGCCAGAUGAUUUGUAUAUCUGUACAUAGACGUGAAAGUCGCUUGUGCGCGCACCAUCCGGUCCGGGAAUUACUGCUGUGAGAAAAUUUCAAGAUGUUUGAAUGCCUUCCGGUGUAACAAAAGUCUCAUUGUGGACCGAUCCGUUUUAAAUAUUGCAUAAUAAUGCAUUAAUGCACAUAUGCAUGAGGAUAGUUUUACAUCGAAUCAAGGUUAUAACAUUUCUCUUAAUUUUAAAAAAAGGACAUUAAAAUUUUAAUAUUCAUUUUAAAACUGAAAAAAAUGAUGCAGCUCUGCUUCGGUGUAAAAACAGUCUUCAUACCUGUGUGCCCUAAAGUGAAAAAUUUAAAUACAGAUCGGAACCAAAUGUUGGGCGUACAAACGGUAUUUAUGUCUAUGAAAACAAGUCACCUGUCUACAGAAUCAUAAAACAAAACAAAAAAGUGUUCUGGAGUGCGCAAAGGUGAAAUAUUUCGUGCAUGUAUACGAAUGUUGGACCAUGUACCGCGUCACUUCCCUUAAAUUUCUCCCAUUUCACGAGCAUGAAAACCGCUUUAUGAACGCAACAGCCUAAGUUUUUAACGAUAAAAUAUAGUGAUCAAAGCAGAUAAAAGCGCAAUAACAUGUUUAAGCUGUUUAGAAAGUAAUCAACCAAUGCAAAUACUUAAUUAAUUAUAGAAAUACAGAGUAUGUACUGUAACUUUAUUUAAUAACAAUAUUUCAAACUUUACGGAGUUCCUCUUGCUGUAAUGUGGCGAAAACAAUGCUUUUUACAGUUAAAUUCAAAACUGAUCAAAUACAAAUCUGACUUAUACCAAAAGGAAACAAACAGGGUUUCCAUCCAUAAGUAGGUUGGCUAAGUUUAGAUUGACUGCAUUCCCCAUCUAUUCCCUUUGUCUUUUCGACCUUUGCUUUGUAUUUGCCUUUACCUGUAAAACCGCGGAAACCAUCACCGCUCGAAUUUACCUUUUGAAAAAGCCAUGAUAACAGCUCCUACCUUUGGUAAAAAUCGUUUUUCGCUGGCAAUAAGUCAAAGGCAUAGUGAACCUGAAGAAAUGCAGCCGGAAAAGCAAAGUAAAAUAAAUUUCACCGUCACGAUUCUAUAAUGAACACAGGUCGUGACAGCCUGUGUUUUUGCCGUUUCACACAAACUCUCCGCAGUGAAAUUAACCAUCUGUUUAUUUUUUCAGUGUUUACACUUAUUGUGUGCUAGAUAAAAGUUCUGCAGAUUGUUUGCAUUGAUAAAACUGGCAAACAAACCGACCCACCAGUUAUUUGAACACUCUCUGAGAGCGAAUCGCUUGUUCUAGGAACCAAAAGCGCAUUUAAAACCGCUUUUCUUUGCUGUGUGAAGUCUAACAUAGAUUAAUCAUUCUUCGAAUUUAGUAGCUCGUCGAGUGGUAGAUUUGGUAAUAGCUUUAACACCUAGUUAUACAGGAGCUUCGAAAUUUUUUUUAAUGAUUUGCUUAUUUUCUAACAAUUUACACAAUACACGUUUUUUCUAAUAAUUCAACGAAAAUCAGCUCAGCCAGUCGACCUCAGUUAUUCCUCCACACAAUAAAUUGUGGCAAGAUGGGCAACAGCAGCAGCGAUGAAAACGGCACUGUCACGUUAGAUAUAAAGGGAGCACAAAGCAGGCCCGAUAGUGCUAUCUACGGCGAGAAAUACACCGGUGGGAAGGACUACGAAUCCGGGCACACAUAUAUUUAUUCGAUCGACUAUUUGUCUGGAUAUACUGGAUCUCAAAAAGUGCGCCACCAUUUUAUAGUCGUGGAGGUUCCAAAUAACGAAUUUGUCAUUUACCAAUGGAGAGUGGCGGGCAAAGAUUACAGUUAUUUCGUCACUAAUCGGUUGAAUGCCACUAAAUGCAAAUAUAUUGGCUACUUUUCUGUUCGAGAGGUUUGUAAUACUGUUGCUCGGGUGGAUGGUAAACACAAAUACGAGCGCACAACGUUCGAUUGCAAUGAUUUUGCAAACGAAGUGGCUCGCUUGCUUAACGGUAACGAAUAUGGUGUUUCAUUGUGGUGCGGCGACUGCAGAUAGCUUGAUCAAUUUUGGAUGCCAAUAAACCGCAACGGUGACUGGGCGCUACUCUCCGUUAAACGAGUUCUAUAAAGAUAGUUGACUAAGUAGUAAGUGUUUCCAAAAUUUGAUUCUAGGCUAUAUUUUGUGAG